CCCUGUUUUGAGGGAAGGAGGCUGACUAACUUAUGCCUACACACUGGGAAUUUCUGAUCUUCUCCAGUACAUUGCACUGCAAUUUCUCCGCACAGUAACCAGCAACUUGAGCUGUCCCAGCCCCCUUGAUCAGCUCCUGACGGAUGUGACUUGUGCUUCCAGCUCUUGUGUGACGCAGCAACGUAUUAGUACUUGCCUUUUAGUCCGUCCUAUUGCGUUUCUCUUUUCUUUCCACCCCCAUUGCUUCUUUGGGAAGUCCACUCCAGUAAAAGACCAGCCUGAGGUCAAGGAAUACAACCCAAGCACAGAAAACCAAAGGAAGUCAAGUUCUCGAACCAUUAAAAGGACUGAAGUAGUCUGCGGAGAACCAUGCGAGGAAAAGGGAUCAAGGAUAAACCGAGGAAUUGACUUAGAAAGCAUCAAUCCAAUAAUUAAGGAGGCCAUAUUGUGAAAAGACGGGAAGACUGUGCCAGUGGGGCGUUUUAUCCCAAUGUUGGAUAAAACUUGAAUACUCCAAGUAGUCUUUGAAUCUGAUGGAGGAAACGUAAUGCCAGGCACCCUUCGGCUGUAAGAGGAGCUGAGACCAUUGAUUUUCACUAUUUGUUACAAUGGUUUAUUCUAGUUAUUGGGAAUGACACUGUGUGAGACACCCUCCAGUUCAGUGUAAAUUUAAAUAUUUGGGUCCCCAGAAGUACUACACUUUCCCCCUUUUUUUGUUUAGUCAUUUAUUUUCCCUCUUUCCCACGCACCCCCCCCCCCAUGAUAUUUAAUCUAGUCAUUCUUGUUCACUUUGGAAUCUCCACUGUGUAAAAAUCCAUGUGUUAUCCAGGAAGGCUGAGUGUAUUCACCUCCUGAAUUUGAUCAUGUAUCUGCAUGAGUGCACGCCUGAGGGUGAGCACCUUCAUCUUAUUUCCGUGUGGGUUGAGUUUUCUUUUUGAUUCUUUCUUUGUUUUUUUUUUCUUAUUUUGUGGAAUGUGGGUGUCCCUGUCUGGCCAGCGUUUCUUGCCCACCCUGACUUGCCCUUGAGAAGGUGGUGGUGAGCUGCCUUCAUGAACUGCUGCCACCUUCCUGCUGUGGGUUGACCCACGGUGCUAUGAGGGAGGGAAUGCCAGGAUUUUGACGCAGUGACUGUUCCUUCACUAUGGUAUGUUUCCAAGUCAGGAUGGUGAUUGCCUUGGAGGGGAACUUGGAGAUGGUGGUGUUCACUUAUGUCUAAUGCCCUUCUCCUUUUUAGAUGGAAGUGGUUGCGGGCUUGGGAGGUGCUCUCUUUAAUGAGACUUAGAAACUCAGCAUGCAGCAAAAAUAAAAUACCUAAUCUUGUUUCUCGUUAGGAUCCUCGUUGGCUUUGCACCAUUUUAACUGGAUUUGGCUGCAAAUGUACUCAAUAGAUUCCUGUUUGGGGGAAAGAUGGGAUUAAGCUUUUAAAAAUACUCGUAUUUCAAACCUUUUCAUUCCUUGACACGUUCUUCUUCCCCUCUUUUUACAUACGAAUAAAUUUCAAGAGAACAAAUGCUAAUGAGGGAUUUUUAAAAAAUAAGACCAAUCUUCAUGGAAUUUGCUAAUUUUACUGCCCAGCACGUUGUUUUCACCUUCUUCAAUUGCAAUUAUUGUGAAUUUUAAAUGUUCUCAUGCUUUUUAUUAAAAUAAAAUCAAAACCA